rnacentral:tRNA from 1 species
GGGGCUAUAGCUCAGCUGGGAGAGCGCUUGCAUGGCAUGCAAGAGGUCACCCGCUUAGCUCCACCA